CCCCCUGAUCUGCCUCUUUGUCAGUCUUAGCCAAUCCUACGGGGAGGCAUUGUGAUUGGAUCAAGCUACCACUUCUGCUGCAGGCAGUGGGCAGGUCUAAAGGAAAAAGGCAGAAAGCCAGCAGCUCCAGACUUGAAUACAAGUAAGAUUUCUACAUUUAGGGAGGCAUGAGGGGGACAGAGGGGCUAGAUGGUUGGUUUAACCCUAUAGGGUCAGGAAUACACGUUUGUGUUCCUGACCCUUUAGUGUGUCUUUAAUAACUGAUUUGUCUGUCUGUUCAACUAUUUGUUAUAUUUGAAUUCUCUCUGCAAGUGUAAUUGUACAAACAUACAUAUAUAUUGCUAAAUUUAGGCAAAAGUCCCAAAGUGAGUUGCAGAAUUUCUCCAAUUUUAGGCAAAU